rnacentral:lncRNA from 1 species
GGUGUGAGUGAUCUUUUGACCUACGGUGCCAUUAGCUAUUCGAAGCGAGGCUAGUGGGUUUGACUGCACAUUCUCUUGAUCCUUAGCCAUUCAGAUCCUUGUUGUAUAUGUUGGCUUCAGUAGGUUCAGGUUCACUGUUUGGAGUAGGAUGCAUCUAGAUGGAAUCUAUCGAUCUUGAUAGAAAAGGAGAAGUCAUAUGCGAUUUACGAGACUGAGUUCAGAAAAUUUUUGGCCAAAGCAAAUAUGAAUACUAGAAAAGA